CUACGGGCUGCAGCAGUGAGGAAUUUUGCGCAAUGGGGGCAACCCUGACGCAGCAACGCCGCGUGAGUGAAGAAGGCCUUUGGGUCGUAAAGCUCUGUCAACAGGGAAGAAGUUACUUCAUAUUAAUAGUAUGUAGUAUUGACGGUACCUGUGGAGGAAGCAUCGGCUAACUCCGUGCCAGCAGCCGCGGUAAUACGGGGGAUGCAAGCGUUAUUCGGAAUCAUUGGGCGUAAAGGGCACGCAGGCGGCUCUGUCAGUCAGAUGUGAAAGCCCGGGGCUCAACCCCGGACGUGCAUUUGAAACAGCAGAGCUUGAGUACGGUAGAGGAAAGCGGAAUUCCUGGUGUAGAGGUGAAAUUCGUAGAUAUCAGGAGGAACACCGGUGGCGAAGGCGGCUUUCUGGACCGAAACUGACGCUGAGGUGCGAAGGCGUGGGUAGCGAACAGGAUUAGAUACCCUGGUAGUC
rnacentral:rRNA from 1 species